UGGAGGGGGAGGCAGGUACUGAUGGGACUUGUUGGGGGGGACUCCCUCUCCUGUGGCUUCUCCAUUGAGAUGGAUUUUCUAGCCACCCCAGUCACUAGGUUACGGCUGGGCAAGCUCUUUCUGUAAAGGGCCAGACAGUAAACACUUUCUGCUUCGCGGCUUCUGGCACAACCACUCAAACCCGUGCGUUUAGCGCAGAAGCAGCCACAGCCGUUAGGGGACAAGGUGCACGGCUGAACGGCAAUUGGACUUUCCUCACAACAAGUGCAGAGGCCGGGCUGGGACCCCGGAGCUAGAUGACCUGUCGUGCAGCACUGGGCUCACUGGUCAGGGUGAUGGCUCAUUUUCUCACCACGUUUUGCCGCCCAUGGAGUCAGGCUGGCACUGGAGGCAUCCGGCACCCAGGCCCGAUGCUAACGCACCUGGAACGGGGCACCUGAGCCCUGGGGGUUACAGUGUCGUUGCUCGCAGAGCCCGUCCUUGCUGCAGCGGGCUUAGGGGACGCUGGGCCCUGCUGAUGGGCUCCCUGGGAGAAGGCAAACAGCGUGGACACGGCGCUGAGGGCUGCCAGCUGGAGCAGGGGCUCGUCUCCUUUCAGACUCACCACUUCUUGUGGAGGCUCAGGAUGCAGGGGGUGAGGUCGUCGUGGGAGAAGCCAGUGAGGUCGCAGAGCCGAGGGCCCCAGGGCUGCGCUGAAGAGGAGGGCACUGGCAGUGAGGGACACACGGACUGCUGCCCAUGCACCCGCCCCACAGCUCUGGCGCUUCUGCCGGGACAUUUCCUGGAGCUAGAUUGUGAGCCCUUUCCUUCAAACUGUUUCGGAAAGACCCCACAGAGGACUCAGUGCUGCCAAAAACAUGGAAAAUGCUUCUUAAGCUAGAACCCUCCCUAAUCUUGUCUCCUGGGGGGAACUGCUUUUGGCUCUUCCUGGGGUGUCUCCUGCCCCGGGUUGGGGCUAUGGCACGCCUUACUGUGUCCGUGCAUCAGCUGGGCCAGGAGGAGGGCAGCGGCGGCCAGGCGGGCCGGGGCAUAGGCAGCUAGGCUGGUGUGCAGCAGCGAGAGCUCGCACAGGAAGCUGCACAGGUGCCGGGUCCUGCGGGCCACGGGGACCAGCGUGACGAGGACCUCCUUGAAGUCGACCACAGUGGGGACCUGCACCGGGGUGGGGGGGGGCACAGGCUCUCAGGCCACUCUCCGUGCCUGACCCCGGGGCACCCACGGCCCCUCCCACCAGGCCAUCAUCUUGGGGAAGAAAAGGCAGCGUCACUUACCCGAAUCCUCCCCUCGAGGGCGGACACAACUUCUCCCAUCAUCCUCACCAGGUCCUCGUACUUGUAUGUGUUGUCUGUGAGCCACACGGCCUCGCGGAUCGUCAGGAUCUCCUUGCUGAUGAACCUGCAACGUCACCAGGGCCUCAGUGCCGGCACCGGCUGCGGUGGGUGCAGCCGCAGGAGCCCCAGGCCCUGGGAGGCACCGAGGCAAGAGAGGAGAAACUGCUCCAGGUGCUGGUGGCCGUACCCAGCCGCCCCUGGCGGGAAAGGCAGGAAAACGGGGAGGCUGCAGCGGUGCUGAAAGGAAGGAGAGCAGGGUCACCAAACAGAUGCAGAGCAGGGCAUGGAAGAGCCACUGACCAGACACAUCUGUCCACUUCCCAAUCCUCUUGACCACCUUAAGAACCGUGCUUUACAGGGGGCCACCAGCCCCCCCAUGGCCUUGUCCCAUGGCAGUGCCUGUGAGGCUGGCACAGGGGCUGUGGGAGCUAGACAGCAGGUUGAUCCCCAUCAGCGGGAAGCAAGGGCCUCAGGUGGCUCGGAGGAAGCAGGCACAUGGCCUGGGGCCCUUGGCAGGCAGCCGGCCCCGACUUGCCCCCAGCACCAGCUCUCAGGACGCCUCGCUCAGCUGGGGUGGUCGGGGCCCGCACACGCGUGCUGGUGUGGGCGGGGGUGGGGGGCCCCAGCGACGAGAGGCGAUGGCGUCAGUGAGAGCCCAGUGCAAGGGCAGGCACUGCUCCCAGAGCAGAUGGGGCGGCCUCAGCCUUCGGAAACGUCUUUGAAGCUGUUGUUGUCUCGCUGCGGCCUGUUUGUGGCUCAGGAACUGGGCCUCAGUUGCAGCGAUGGAGCUACGUGUCGAGCAGCCCACCUCUGCAGCCAGCUUUGGUCUCAAGGCCUGGGCUGGGGAAGCGGCUGCAGAGGACCCAUCUGAAGACUGCAGCAGUGUCCGCUAGGAAGUCGGAGCUGCCUGUAGCCAGGUGCCUCAAGGAGCCGCCCCAGCCCUGCAUGACGCCCUCCACCCACGUCACCAGCCUGAGCCCUCAUGUUGGGGCCCAGCCGCCUGGACACAGGGGCCUGGCGGAGUGGCCGCCCACACCAAGGGGAACCCUGAGGGCCGUCCGCAGCCUGGGAGCAGCUCGGCCUGGACACCCCAACACUGCCCGGCAACCAGGAGCUGCAGCUUGAACCGCGGCACCAGCCUCCGCCGCAGGUACCGGUCCACACACUCCACGCUCAGGUGCAGGCAGAGGCUCGUGAAGUCCUUCAUGGUGGCCACCUCCACCAGCCAGUCGACGAGAAUGUACCUGCGGGUGCAGCGCCGCAUUUCAAACACGAGGAGACGCUCUCCUGGGUGCCCGCCCCAAGCAGCAGGCCCCGCAUCUCCAAACGUCAUUCCGGGAGGGGAAGGAGAGUGGAGCCAGGUGUCUGAAGCCUGAACUAGCAGAGCUUUAACCAGCCUAACAACCUGGCUUAAAACAACAGACCAAGUGAACUGUAUACUCCAAAAUGGUGAGAAUCUACAUUAAACACACACACACAUAAAAUGAAUAGCAGAAAUCAAAACAAAACCAAGGAGCCCGAGAGGGGCAGAAGGUGCUGCUGGCAAGCGGCUUCCAGCAGGAAGAGGAAAGAGCUGGGAGAGAAGUGGCAGGGGGCGGUGCAGGCCGGUGUGUGUGCAGGAUGUUCUGUGACUUAGCGUAAAAGAGUGUUACCUCCAAGCCCUGGAGGAAAAUGGAUGUGCUGGAAGACGCCUGUCACGCUGGGGCCCCCAGGCUUCCCAAGCGCAGCCCCCUCGGCCCGGCAGCUCCUACGGCCGCCGGACACCCCACAACACACCUGUGCUGGUGACAGUGGGUCAAAAGGAAAAGGUGGCUUUUCCGCUUCAGAAAGAGGGAAAUCCCACUAUUUUAGAAAGACACUUAAAAUGGUUUAACACGUUCUGUGUCUUACAAAAAUUAACCCAAGAUAGUGGAAA